rnacentral:rRNA from 1 species
CUAAUACAUGCAUGUUGAACGGGAUGUAGCAAUACAUUCAGUAGCGAAUGGGUGAGUAACACGUACCUAACCUACCUUUAAGACUGGGAUAACUAUUGGAAACAAUAGCUAAUACCGGAUAUAGUUAUUUAUCGCAUGAUGAGUAAUAGAAAGGAGCUUCACAGCUUCACUUAAAAAUGGGGGUGCGGAACAUUAGUUAGUUGGUAGGGUAAUGGCCUACCAAGACGAUGAUGUUUAGCCGGGCCGAGAGGCUGUACGGCCACACUGGGACUGAGAUACGGCCCAGACUCCUACGGGAGGCAGCAGUAAGGAAUUUUCCACAAUGAGCGAAAGCUUGAUGGAGCGACACAGCGUGCAGGAUGAAGUUCUUCGGAAUGUAAACUGCUGUUAUAAGGGAAGAAAAAAUAGAAUAGGAAAUGAUUUUAUCUUGACGGUACCUUAUUAGAAAGCGACGGCAAACUAUGUGCCAGCAGCCGCGGUAAUACAUAGGUCGCAAGCGUUAUCCGGAAUUAUUGGGCGUAAAGCGUCCGUAGGUUUUUUGCUAAGUCUGGAGUUAAAUGCUGAAGCUCAACUUCAGUCCGCUUUGGAUACUGGCAAAAUAGAAUUAUAAAGAGGUUAGCGGAAUUCCUAGUGAAGCGGUGGAAUGCGUAGAUAUUAGGAAGAACACCAAUAGGCGAAGGCAGCUAACUGGUUAUAUAUUGACACUAAGGGACGAAAGCGUGGGGAGCAAACAGGAUUAGAUACCCUGGUAGUCCACGCCGUAAACGAUGAUCAUUAGUUGGUGGAAUAAUUUCACUAACGCAGUUAACGCGUUAAGUGAUCCGCUUGAGUAGUAUGGUCUCAAGAGUGAAACUUAAAGGAAUUGACGGGAACCCGCACAAAGGGUGGAGCAUGUGUUUUUAUUUGAUAUGACGUGUAGAACCUUACCCACUCUUGACAUCUUCGGCAAAGCUAUAGAGAUAUAGUGGAGUUUAACAGAAUGACAGAUGGUGCAUGUUUUUCGUCCUCUGCUGUCUCGAGAUGUUAGGUUAAGUCCUGCAACGAGCGCAACCCUUUUCUUUAGUUACUAAUAUAAAGUAAAGGACUCUAGAGAUACUGCCGGGGUAACCAGGAGGAAGGUGGGGACGACGCAAAAUCAUCAGGCCUUCUAAGAGUGGGACAACACACGUGCUACAAGUGUCGGUACAAAGAGAAGCAAUAUGGUGACAUGGAGCAAAUCUCAAAAAACCGAUCUCAGUUCGGAUUGAAGUCUGCAACUCGACUUCAUGAAGUCGGAAUCGCUAGUAAUCGUAGAUCAGCUACGCUACGGUGAAUACGUUCUCGGGUUUUGUACACACCGCCCGUCACACCAGGGGAGUUGGUAAUGCCCAAAGUCGGUGAG